CCUACGUGAGGCAGCAGUGGGGAAUAUUGCACAAUGGGGGGAACCCUGAUGCAGCGACGCCGCGUGAGUGAUGAAGUAUUUCGGCAUGUAAAGCUCUAUCAGCAGGGAAGAAGAUGACGGUACCUGACUAAGAAGCCCCGGCUAACUACGUGCCAGCAGCCGCGGUAAUACGUAGGGGGCAAGCGUUAUCCGGAUUUACUGGGUGUAAAGGGGGCGUAGACGGUCCUGCAAGCCAGAUGGGAAAGCCCGGGGCUCACCCCCGGGACUGCAUUUGGAACUGUAUGGCUAGAGUGUCGGAGAGGCAGGCGGAAUUCCUAGUGUAGCGGUGAACUGCGUCGAUAUUAGGAGGACCACCAGUGGCGAAGGCGGCCUGCUGGACUAUGACUGCCGUUGAGGCUCGAACGCGUGGGGAGCACACAGGAUUAGAUACCCCUGUAGUC
rnacentral:rRNA from 1 species